rnacentral:rRNA from 1 species
GCGGCCUAUCAGCUUGUUGGCGAGGUAAUGGCUCACCAAGGCGACGACGGGUAGCCGGCCUGAGAGGGCGACCGGCCACACUGGGACUGAGACACGGCCCAGACUCCUACGGGAGGCAGCAGUGGGGAAUCUUGCGCAAUGGGCGAAAGCCUGACGCAGCAACGCCGCGUGCGGGAUGAAGGCCUUCGGGUUGUAAACCGCUUUCAGCAGGAACGAAAAUGACGGUACCUGCAGAAGAAGGAGCGGCCAACUACGUGCCAGCAGCCGCGGUGACACGUAGGCUCCAAGCGUUGUCCGGAUUUAUUGGGCGUAAAGAGCUCGUAGGCGGUUUAGUAAGUCGGGUGUUAAAACUCUGGGCUCAACCCGGAGACGCCAUCCGAUACUACUAUGACUUGAGUUCAGGAGGGGAGACUGGAAUUCCU